UACGGAGGGUGCAAACGUUGCUCGGAAUCAUUGGGCGUAAAGCGCACGUAGGCGGUCCAGCAAGUCGGGUGUGAAAGCCCUCGGCUUAACCGAGGAAGUGCAUUCGAAACUACUGGACUUGAGUACUGAAGAGGGUCGCGGAAUUCCCGGUGUAGAGGUGAAAUUCGUAGAUAUCGGGAGGAAUACCGGUGGCGAAGGCGGCAUCCUGGACCGGCAUUGACGCUGAGGAGCGAAAGCUAGGGGAGCAAACGGG
rnacentral:rRNA from 1 species